GUAUAAGCGACUAUACUGUGAAACUGCGAAUGGCUCAUUAAAUCAGUUAUGGUUUAUUUGAUGGUACCUACUACUUGGAUAACCGUAGUAAUUCUAGAGCUAAUACAUGCAGGAAGACCCGACUUCGGAAGGGUUGUAUUUAUUAGAUAAGAAACCAAUCCAGCUUGCUGGUUGCGUGCCGAGUCACAAUAACUGCUCGAAUCGCAUGGCUUCACGCCGGCGAUGGUUCAUUCAAAUUUCUGCCCUAUCAGCUUUCGAUGGUAGGAUCGAGGCCUACCAUGGCGUUUACGGGUAACGGAGAAUUAGGGUUCGAUUCCGGAGAGGGAGCCUGAGAGAUGGCUACCACAUCCAAGGAAGGCAGCAGGCGCGUAAAUUGCCCGAAUCCUGACACAGGGAGGUAGUGACAAGAAAUAACAAUACAGGGCUUCUAAAGUCUUGUAAUUGGAAUGAGUACAAUUUACAUCUCUUCACGAGGAUCAAUUGGAGGGCAAGUCUGGUGCCAGCAGCCGCGGUAAUUCCAGCUCCAAUAGCGUAUAUUAAAGUUGUUGCAGUUAGAACGCUCGUAGUCGGAUUUCGGGGCGGGCCGACCGGUCUGCCGAUGGGUACGCACUGGUCGGCGCGUCCUUCCUUCCGGAGACCGUGCCUACUCUUAACUGAGCGGGGGCGGGAGACGGAUCGUUUACUUUGAAAAAAUCAGAGUGUUUCAAGCAGGCAGCUCGCUCUUGCAUGGAUUAGCAUGGGAUAAUGAAAUAGGACUUUGGUGCUAUUUUGUUGGUUUCGAACACCGAAGUAAUGAUUAACAGGGACAGUCAGGGGCACUCGUAUUCCGCCG
rnacentral:rRNA from 1 species